GGAGGGUGGUGCGGGAUGGGGCUCACAGACCCCGGGAUUCCCCCUCAGCCCUGAGGGAGACAGGAACUGAGGGAGGGGUGGUGCGGGAUGGGGCUCACAGCCUCCGGGAUUCCGCCCUCAGCGCUGAGGGAGCCGGGAACUGAGGGAGGGAUGGUGCGGGAUGGGGCUCACAGCCCCCGGGAUUCCCCCCUCAGCCCUGAGGGAGCCAGGAACUGAGGGAGGGAUGGUGCGGGAUGGGGCUCACAGACCCCGGUAUUUCCCCCUCAGCCCUGAGGGAGCCGGGAACUGAGGGAGGGAUGGUUUGACCCAACGCAAGGCGGCCCCGGCGUUUCAUUUUUAUAAAUCUCGGUGUGACACCUUGUAGCUUUUCCUGCUAAGUCCAGGACCUGCUGUGCCAUCCCACCUGUCCUGGGUAGGUUUUGAACACCAGUUUUUUUCAUAACCCUUUGCCAAAAAGGGGUUUAAGCAGCACCUUUGUCACAGGUGAACUUAGACAAGAGUGAAUUACAGGAAAAGAACAAAUACAAGGAGGAGGUGAGGACACACAGGAGCACACUGGUAGUGUAAGUCAGUGACCCUUGGUCUGCAGGAUGCAGGUGGAAGCUGUCUGGUGAAAGAGUAAAGAACGAAUCACAGACUUCUUGGCAAGCACCAUCCUGAGCCCUCAGAGGCAUCCUCAUUUGUAUCUCCACAUAAAGGUGUUGUUCCAGAGAUCCCUGUGAAGGAGUAUGGCUGUUCCAGGGCAGUGCUUGCUGAGGGAGCAUCGUGGUUGAACUUGUGCAUCCUUCCAUGAAGAGGCUGAUGGAGCCUGGGAUGUGGUGUGAGCUCCCUGCCUUGGGCCGUGUCAUCUCCCAGCUGGCCCAUUUAGUGUCUGUCACCCCUCUGGCCUUUGUGACUGGAAAGUGGGAUCCCUUCUGGUGAAUCACCUUGUCCUGCUCCUCUGGGCUUUCCCACAUGCCUACUUACAGGCAUGCCUGCUCUCGGGGUGCAUUCUCUAAGGGCAUUUAUUGCACUGAAAGCAAGGUGUCCCUCUCUGCUCCUGCACCGCCAGCAACAGUUCUGGCCCCUGAAGAGUCUUUUUUUUUACCUGUAUGGAGGGGAUCAGCUCCAUUUCCCAGAGUGUUUCUGCUGGGAGACUCUGUGAGACUCAGUGACUGAUUUUCAAGUGCUGUUAGAGACAGAGCAUCGUGCACUUCUGCCGUGACAACCAGGGAUGCACCCACAGGCACCCUUGGCUGCUGUGGACUCUUUGCUUGGACUUGCCUCUUUGGAAAGAGGACAAAUACAAGUGAAUAGAGAAGGAUCUUGAUAAGACUGUCUUCCAAGCAAGGACAUAGAAAAAGCUACACAAACUGUUCAAAAACUGUAUUUCAAUGCUCUCUGCACUUCCCCCAAGUGAUCUUCCUCUCAGAGAAACAGAACAAGCGGAACUGCGCAGCAGUCCUGGAAGGAGAGAACUUUUUGUUAUGCCAGUUUUCAGCCAAGAAUACACUGCUCAUCAAAGUGCUGCUGACUGGCACCAGCAGUGCAAGGAUUGCGUGUUUUGGUUUUUCAGAUGAUGGUCCAUCUCUGCAUUAAGUACAGGCGACAUUUCCUGCUCUUAUGUGACCAUUGUGCCCUGGAGGAUUCAGUGUUGGAGUUAACUGCUCAUGCAGACAAGAAACUCAGCGUGUUCCUGCACUGUCAGUGUGCAAAGUUGUGAACUUUCAUCAGACCAGAGGUGACUGCAGAUACAGGAGCACAGGAACGGGAGGCAACUGAAUUACAGCAGCUGUGAUACUGGAGUGGCUUUUUCAAAUGGGUGUACUACUGACUGGCUUUUUUCCCUUAUCCAGAAAAAAAUGACUUUUCCUGUGGAGAAAGCCCAUCUUUCAGCUUGCUGUACCCCAAUAGAUGCAUGUGGAAGGGUAUUUUACUCUGGAAAUGAUUCUUACCCACAAGAAUGGUGGGACAUUGCUUCAACUGCUUUCUAUUUCUCUCAGAAUUGUCUGGUGUCACCCCUUGCAUUCAGUGCUUGAAACCAAGACGAGCUUGUGGAAACAGCUUUUGCUGUUUUCUGUCUUUGCAGGGCAAAUCAGACAAGGGAAAACACAUCUCUUAGGAUUCCAUCUAGAAUCCCAUAAGACUUAAUUCUCAUCUGGCCGAAUCCUCCCCUGAAUUAAUCCCCACCACCCAGGGAAGUGAGUGGAAACACACCUGGGCUCCAGGUAUCCUGCUCCAUGCUCAGAGUGCUCGGCUUCCACCAUCGCUGGGCAUGGCAGAAGCACAACCUCCACAUAUAAAGCCCUUCCCGAUAUCGCCAGAGCGAGGGGACCACAGCCUUAAAAUCCAAAUUAAAUGAACCUAAUUUCCUCUGAGAUGUUAACGUGCCGCGCUGAUUUCAAGUUAAUCAAAACAGAUGUUUUCGAAAUGCAUCAAACAGGAUGUAGAAAAUUUGGCUAUUUAAUGCAGAUUCAAAGCAAAUUCCUUACAACCACCACGGAAACCAUGGCUGUUUGCUCAGGCCUGUGGAGCGAGGCUGUGCUUUUUAAGUGCCACUUGCUGCCUCUGCCCACUGUGGCCUCCAUUCCAUGAACUUAUUUAAAGCUUGGUUAUACUAAAGAUAGUAGGCCAAACCUUGUUCUUGGGGACAUAAUUAAUGUAUCCUGCCAAUUCCUUAAAUAGAUGCACAUCUUGGAAGAAGACAGUUUGACAUGUGUUUUAUCUCCCCUUCUGGAAGCUUUGCUCUGAAAUUCAGGCAUUUUGUACAAAAUAAUGAUACAAACAGAAUUCAACUGAGGAGUUCAUGUCAAUAUUUUCAGAUUCUUUGUACCUGUAUUUGUUCAGACCUGAUUGUAACCCUUGCAAUUCAAUACUAGCAAGAAGCAAAAAAAGAGUUGUCUUAUUCCUUCUGAGGUAAAACAAAUAUUUUUUGGUCCACAACAUCCAUUUGUGUUUUAUUAACCUGAUAUUAAAGGAGGUGAAGUCUAGUUAAUGCAACAACAUUUUAGAUGGGGAUAAGUCAGUCUGAAUCCCCCUCUUAAAAUCUUUCAAGGAUUUCAAGGAAAGAAAAAUUUAAGUAGAAGUCUGGAUACUUCAGUGUAUAUUACACCCGGUCUGCAGUUUAGCGUUUUUGUUGAUUUUUAUUGCAACUUAAUGAUUCUGGCAUGGCCUAAUGGAGUAGAAUUUGAUCUCUAUCAGCAUUUUUAUAAAAAACUAAGGUAAGCUGAGGAGUUUGGCAUUUCUGCUUUUGAGAAUGAAGAGUCCACACCUCUUUGGACAACCUAUCCCAGAGUUUGACCACUCUCACAAUAAAAAAAUAA